GGCAUGGUUCAAGUGGUAGAAUAUCUGCCUACCAAGCUCAAGGCCCUGAGUUCAAAUCUUAGUGCUGACA
rnacentral:tRNA from 1 species